rnacentral:rRNA from 1 species
CCUACGGGUGGCAGCAGUAGGGAAUAUUGCUCAAUGGGGGGAACCCUGAAGCAGCGACGCCGCGUGGGGGAUGAAGUUUUUAGGAUUGUACACUCCUUUUGGUAGAGAAGAUUAUGACGGUAUCUAACGAAUAAGCACCGGCUAACUCCGUGCCAGCAGCCGCGGUAAUACGGAGGGUGCAAGCGUUACUCGGAAUCACUGGGCGUAAAGAGUGCGUAGGCGGGGUAAUAAGUCAGAUGUGAAAGCCUGUAGCUUAACUAUAGAACUGCAUUUGAAACUGUUACUCUGGAGUGUGGGAGAGGUAGGUGGAAUUCGUGGUGUAGGGGUGAAAUGCGUAGAGAUCAAGAGGAAUACUCAUUGCGAAGGCGACCUGCUGGAACAUUACUGACGCUGAGGCACGAAAGCGUGGGGAGCAAACAGGAUUAGAUACCCUAGUAGUC